GCGCCGAGCAUUAUUGUAGGGCCCCGGAGUUGAGGGAAUCCUCUGUUUCAUUGUUUCAUUUUCAUCCUUGUUAGUCUUUUGUUUCAAGGAGAACUGGCCAGUCACAACCACCACCAUAGACCAGGUAUGGCCUCGGUUGCGGUGACUCACCAGUGACAACCACCACCAUAGACCAGGUAGAAGCCAGGUUUAAACAAUGGCUGAAAACCUGCCUAUCUAGGAGAAGCACCAAGAAUACGACGUUUAGUUGGAGAUGAUAUGACCAGCUCUGAAGAUUCACCAACGUGUUAUGGUCAUGUGAGCUGAGUGUCAAAGCAAUAGAUGUCAUCUGAGGAGUGACACACACACGCCCAUUUAGGCCUUGUUCGGUUGACAGGGAUAUAGAAGGGGUUUAACAGGGAUUGAGAUGGAUAUAAACCCCUACAAGUCAAAACUCACCCCAAUCCCCUUCAAUCCUCUUGAGAAGAGGUGUAACCGAGCAAGACCUCAAGGUCGUUGAGAGCUGCUUUUGAUUGCAGUACCAACCAAAGAACAUCAUGACGACGAAGAGUAAACGGGGGGCUACUUUGUCCACUGAGUAACGAUCAUCUCAUUCCCGAUGUCUCACAUUUCUAGUGAACUUUGAUCUUUUU
rnacentral:lncRNA from 1 species